UUAUAAAAAUGUAAAUGUUGACAACAGCCAAAAUAAAACGGGUCUACAACAGCUAAAAGCGACAUUGUGUCGAAAAGCCGUGCACACCCUGCAUUCAUUUUUUUACCGUAACAUACCGCUCCUGUUUUUUUCCUGUUUAACCAGCAGUUGCUUUCCUGCGGCAUAUGAGGGCAGCAUUUCAUUAGAGCUGGUGCACUUGUCUUCUGGCCCCAGAGCGAACACAGGCGGAGAAGGAGGUGUGGUGUCGGCCCUUCACCUGGUAACCACAGAGGAAAGGGAGGCAGAGUCAUGCUGGUAGCCAGAAGUCAGUUCUUUUAACUAGUUCCUCACCCUGCCUCCCCUGUGCAGCCGAUCCUUCAUUAUUCCAAUGAACUCCUUGUAGGAGAGCUGGUCAUCAUGAUCCACGUCAAAGAUCUUGAAGAUUGUGUGUACAAGGUGACGUGUCAGCUUCAGCCCAGUGGCCACAUACACCGCUCGUGCGAACUCAUCUGGAAGGAGAGAGAGUAAAAAACAAUUCUGAUCAUUUUGGCCACUUUUUGUACACCAAGCUAGAAGAAAAAAACACACCACCUGUGUGUGUAAGCAGAGACCCUGGUGCCUGUAGCCACAGCUGCCACUGUUCUCUUCCUACCUUGUCCAAUGGAGCGAGAAGCAAAAUUGUACAUCUGCAUGGCAAUGGCAAAGUCCUCAAGGUUGUUGAGAAACUGGAAGAAUGAUCUGAACUCAUCAAAGGUGAUUCCCUGAAAUACCAGAAAAAUAGAAACAUGUGAACCAGCCCGGAAAAUGACUUCAGGGAGAAGUAUUGAUGAAAUAUUGAUGAAAAUGUCGUUUUCUGGAGAGAAAAAAAAGAAGCUUGAAAAUGAGAGUAAUGAGUGUUUCAGCACAGACUGCCAUCCAAAGGGACUUUGACAGACGUGCAUACAGCAUUCAAUUAGGCACAUUCACUCUGUUGUCUGAAACAUUACUUAACCAAAAUAAAAGAAAACAGCUGACCAUAACUCACACUAUCAACCAAUAACAGAGAUUUCAUGAAAUAGUCCUGUUAAUGACAUAAAAGGUCAUUAAUGCCAGGAUUGUGUGUGCAUGAUAUGGACAUUUCCAAACCUUCUUGCAGUGUUUCAUAACCCUAAAGUAGUUGCAUACAUUACAGUAAUAAUGCUGAAGCCAUUCAACAAG